AGGGUCUCCCUAAUUCCAAGUUAUCUUGUUGAUUGAAGGCUUUGAAAUAAAGUCAAUUCAGAAAACAAAAUUAUCUUCUAAGGGUAGAUAUUAACAGUACUGCUGAUAAGUCUUUUCUGGGCAAAACCAAAUAUCUCUUCAGCUCAUAGUAUAGGUGAAAGGCAAUGGCCAGACAGGCGAUGAAGCCACCUUAAGGCAGAAAGAGUCAAGAAUGAAGUCCCAGGCAGCUGGAGCCUCCUAACUGCUUCCUUCAAGAUUCCAUUGGAACAGUCUCCCCUCCCCCAAUGAUUUGUGUUCCAAAAGUUCUGAGCUCCUUUGCUUUGUAGAUUCAUUUUUUUCUUUGCCUAAAUAUCUUCAUUCACAUUUGGUUCAAAUUGGUAAACAUUAAUACUAUACAAUAAAGAGGGAAAGAAAGAAGCAUUUAUUGUCUAUCAUGUAUCAGACACUGUGUUGAGUUAUAUUUUACAAAUAUUAUCUUUUGAGAACUGUCCAGUGGUCUCUCUGAGGGUCCAUGGUCUACUCUGUCCAGGUGUGAUGAUUUUGGUCAAAUAAUGAAGUGAGAAGCUCUGCGUGCUCAAUCCCACAUGUUAAGUAUCACAUAGUGUUCUGCUAUGGCACAGAGGUUCAUUUAUUUUAUAGGUUCAGUGAGUACAUGCUUUUCUGGUACACAAUCAAUUUUCUACAUACAUGUUUUCAUAGAACUUAACAACAGACGCAUAACUUAAGGAGAUAGUCAAAGAAACAUUGUUGCUAUAGAUGAAUGACAUAAACAGGGUGAUCUGGAGGUUGGUUCUCCCCGACCAAAGAAGAAUCAUUGUUACUAUUGGUCAACUUUCAUAGUCAAUCAUAAUUACUUAGGAGAUGGAUAACAAAACAUUCCAUAGCUACGUACAGGGUUAGAAGGCAAUUUUAGACAGACCAGAUUUGCAGUUUUCCUCAAUUUACAAGUUCCAUUUUUCUUGUGUUGCUUUAAAGCACCUGCCAACGUUGCCUGGUUUCUGUCUGCAGUGGAGUGUGUCUUGAAGGCAAUUGAUGUUCUUGGCUUGCCUGGCUUAUAAUGGGAGUGAAUGUAACUCUGUGGAGAGGGAAAGGAGGGGGGGUAACGGGUAAUGAACUUUAGGUUUUAAUUCUGUAAAUAUAAUCUUUUAGGAUAAUAAUGUGGGAGGAUUAAGGUGGGAUAUAUGUUUAUUCUACAAGUCUUUGCUCUUGUAUCAUUUCUUUUGUAUUAGAGAACAAUAAUCAUCCAUUAGUGAGGGAAGUUAAAGAGAGAUAAGUCACAGAGGGGGAUCAGUAGGGGUAUCAUUUUCUGGGGGCUGUCUUACAGCCCCCAUUUCCCAAACUGUGACUUGGUCAGCCAGUGGGGGUUUGAUGGCUCCCAACAAUUAUCUCAUUUUUAUAAAACAUAAUGGAAGAGAUACAGAGUUCAAAUAAGAUAUCAUUUUUGUCCUCGUAUAAUUUGCAAUCUAGUAGGGGGCAUGGAAGACACAAAAUUACUAUAUUACAGAAUAGAUCAAAUGUACUAGAAGUUUGAUCAAAAUGACAACUAUAAUUUUCCUAAGAUCCCAGGGAAAAGAUUAUUAUCAAUAGGGAAGACAAGGCUUAUGAAUAAGUAGGAAUUCAACAGUCAAAAAAAGGAAGAAUGUUCCAAGAAUACUAUGUCUGAUGAUUUGAUAGUCUGAGUGCUUGCAAGAGAUCUGAGACAUCGCUAUAAAAAAAGAGCUCACUUUCUUCAUCAACUCCAACCUCCAAUAUAGUUGGCAUCAACUACCACCCAUCAACAGCUAAGUCCAAGAACCCAAGCAUGGCAAAAUAUCCCAAAAUGCUGCUCUUAUUUCUAGCACAGGUGCAAUAUUGAGUCAUCAUGUGAGGAACAACUCCUGUGAAGAAAGUGAUGGGCUCAUCCUCAUUAAAGCCUAGCCAACUGCUUUGUAUGGGAAAGGAAAGGCAACAUCCUAGGAGAGAGUCAGAAUAAGGUUCCCUUCCUGUGGCUCAGAUACAAUACGGGAAAUAAGAAGAGAUCAACCUAGGAAAGCAGGAAGAAUCACCAAUCUCCAACCUAGGAAUUAAAGAGCAAAGAAUGAAGAGGGAAACAAGGCUCUAGCCUGAACAGAUGAUGGGAGCAGGAGGACAUGUAUGAAACAGAUGACUUUGAGACUACAAUGAAAGGAAACCAGCCAGUGAGAACCCAGACCUAGAUAGCUUGUAUAUCAUGCAAUACCCCAGUUUGGAGUUUGGUGAAUCUACUUCUGGACAUUCAUAAAAAAGGACCCUGCUCUCCAUUUUGAAACUUGUGCCCAAUAACUACAACUUUCCAACUCAUGGAAGCAUCACACUUUCUCAGAAGAAGCAGUUUCCCUGUGUAUCAGUUUCCUGAAGAUUAGAUCCAAGUCUCUCGGUAACCGAGGAUGACGAUUGUCUUUGUGCAUUUUUGUGCACAAAGACACCUGUGCACGAAGAUGUAAGUGGAAAAGUCGAUGCACAGAGACAGUCCCACUCUCUCGGCGUUGGAAGCCUGGGUCCAUUGGCACGAAAAAUCGUUACACCUGGAGACUUCCUCAGCUGCAUUGGAUGGCCGUGUUGUCUUUUGUGCUCCAACACACCCUAAGCACUCCACAGUGCUUUGCUGCAUCGCCAUCUCAGCCGUUGAACCUUCUUGCUGGUUUCUUCCGCCUGUUCUGCCGAAACAGUCUUCACAUGCUGGGUGAGCAAAGCCCUGGUUCACCAGGGGUCGACGUUGACCAGAUGGCUACCCUCACAAGGUUUAGCUGGCCUGUCGAAGCUGUUGCCCAGGGUGUGGCCGCUGCAGCAUGCUAGCAGCUACUAGGAGCCACAAGUGAGAGCUGGAUGUCAGGUGAGGGUCAGAGGCUGGAGAGCUGCCCCAGGAGGGCACGACAAGCCCUCCAUACCAAAGAUAUUACUCCUCCCAGACCACCCCAUACACCCCCCAUCUUCCCUAGCACCAAACAUAGCACACAAGUACAUUGUCCAAAUCAAAUGUAAUGGACUUCUCUGCUAGCAGCAAUGCAAUGAUCCAGGACACUUCUGAGGGACUUAUGAGAAAGAAUGCUAUCCACAUCAAAAAGAACUGUGGGAGUAGAAACACAGAAGAAAAACAACUGCUUGAUCACAUGGGUUGAUGGGGAUAUGACUGGAGAUGUCAACUCUAAGCGAUCACCCUAGUGUAAAUAUCAAUAAUAUGGAAAUAGGUCUUGAUCAAUGACACAUGUAAAACCCAGUGGAACUACUUGUUGGCUAUGAGAGGGGGGAAGAAGGGAGGGAAAGAACAUGAAUCAUGUAACCAUGGAAAAUAUU